AGGGAAUUUUCGGCAAUGGGGGGAACCCUGACCGAGCAACGCCGCGUGAAGGAAGAAGGAAUUCGUUCUGUAAACUUCUGUUAUAAAGGAAGAAAGACGGAUGGAGGAAAUGACAUCCGAGUGACGGUACUUUAUGAGAAAGCCACGGCUAACUACGUGCCAGCAGCCGCGGUAAUACGUAGGUGGCAAGCGUUAUCCGGAAUUAUUGGGCGUAAAGAGGGAGCAGGCGGCAGCAAAGGUCUGUGGUGAAAGACUGAAGCUUAACUUCAGUAAGCCAUAGAAACCAGGCAGCUAGAGUGCAGGAGAGGAUCGUGGAAUUCCAUGUGUAGCGGUGAAAUGCGUAGAUAUAUGGAGGAACACCAGUGGCGAAGGCGACGAUCUGGCCUGCAACUGACGCUCAGUCCCGAAAGCGUGGGGAGCAAAUAGG
rnacentral:rRNA from 1 species